UGAGAGAAUCAUUAACUUAAUUUGACUAUCUGGUUUGUGGAUGCGUUUACUCUCAUGUAAGUCAACAACAUCCUGGGAUUGGGACACACUUUCUGGGCACUGCUGGCCAGUCCCAAAAUGGAACAUAAGGAAGUGGUUCUUCUACUUCUGUUAUUUCUGAAAUCAGCACCGACUGAGACAGGGCCUUCUGUGCAGGAGUGCUACCACAGUAAUGGACAGAGUUAUCGAGGCACAUACUUCACCACUGUCACAGGAAGAACCUGCCAAGCUUGGUCAUCUAUGACGCCACACCAGCACAGUAGAACCCCAGAAAAGUACCCAAAUGAUGGCUUGAUCUCGAACUACUGCAGGAAUCCGGAUUGUUCGGCAGGCCCUUGGUGUUAUACGACGGAUCCCAAUGUCAGGUGGGAGUACUGCAACCUGACACGGUGCUCAGACGAUGAAGGGACUGUGUUCGUGCCUCUGACUGUUAUCCCAGUUCCAAGCCUAGAGGAUUCAUUCAUACAAGUGGCUUGAUCUCCAACUACUGCAGGAAUCCGGAUUGUUCGGCAGGCCCUUGGUGUUAUACAACGGAUCCCAAAGUCAGGUGGGAGUACUGCAACCUGACAGGAUGCUCAGACAAGAAUAGGGCUGUGGCCGCGCCUCUGACUAUUAUCCCGGUUCCAAGACGAGAGGAUACUUCCAAACAAGCACUGAUUGAUCCAAGGCCUUCAAUGUAGGAGUGCUACCAUGGAAAUGGACAGAGUUAUCGAGGCACAUACUUCACCACCGUCACAGGAAGCACUUGCCAAGCUUGGUCAUCUAUGACACCACACCAGCACAGUAGGACCUCAGAAAAGUACCCAAAUGCUGACUUGAUCAUGAACUACUGCAGGAAUCCAGAUCCUGUGGAAGGCCCUUGGUGUUACACGAUGGAUCCCAAAGUCAGAUGGGAGUACUGCAACCUGACACGAUGCUCAGACACAGAAGGGACUGCAGUCGUGCCUCUGACUGUUAUCCCGGUUCCAAGCCUAGAGGAUCCUUCCAAACCAGCACCAACAGAGCCAAGGCCUUGGGAGCAGCAGUGCUACCACGGUAAUGGACAGAGUUAUCGAGGCACAUACUUCACCACUGUCACAGGAAGAACCUGCCAAGCUUGGUCAUCUAUGACGCCACAUCAGCACAUGGCCUGACCAGGAACUACUGCAGGAAUCCAGAUUCUGGGAAACAACCCUGGUGUUACACAACUGAUCCGUGUGUGAGGUGGGAGUACUGCAACCUGACACAAUGCUCAGAAACAGAAUCAGUGUCCUAGAGACUCCCACUGUUGUUCCAGUUCCAAGCAUGGAGGCUCAUUCUGAAGCAGCACCAACUGAGCAAACCCCUGUGGUCCGGCAGUGCUACCAUGGUAAUGGACAGAGUUAUCAAGGCACAUUCUCCACCACUGUCACAGGAAGGACAUGUCAAUCUUGGUCAUCCAUGACACCACACCGGCAUCAGAGGACCCCAGAAAACUACCCAAAUGAUGGCCUGACAAUGAACUACUGCAGGAAUCCAGAUGCCGAUACAGGCCCUUGGUGUUUUACCACAGACCCCAGCGUCAGGUGGGAGUACUGCAACCUGACGCGAUGCUCAGACAGAAGGGACUGUGGUCGCUCCUCCGACUGUUAUCCAGGUUCCAAGCCUAGAGGCUCCUUCCGAACAAGUAAAAAGUCUGUAUCCAGACAUCUAUGUGCUUGGACAACGGGAUGAAAAGACAUGAAAAACCACACUGAUGCAGAAGCCUUUAGUGCUGCACGGGAGCUCGAGUGUUGGUUGAGGGUCUGCCAUGACCAAGGAAGCCUCAAUGCCGUCCCUGGGAAAGCCAGAGCUGUGAUUUUUGGCACAACUUGCGAGUGUAGUGACUUUAGGACUGGCGCAAAACCUCCAGGGUGCUCAACUUAACCACUCACCUUGUUCUAAAAUAGGUUAUUUCAGUGUCCCAGUCAAAUUCCUAUUCUAACAUGCUGUCAACUAUGUGAUUCUUUCCAAGCCAAUAAACAUUUCCAGUAAUUUCUUAAAA
ensembl:lncRNA LPAL2 lipoprotein(a) like 2 (pseudogene)